rnacentral:tRNA from 1 species
GGCGGCGUUGCCAGAACUGGGCGUGGGCCGCCUCGGCGGCGGCCAGGCGGCGGUAGAUGGCGGCCAGUUCCGGCCUGGCCUCCGCCUC